UGUCGCCCAGCAAGUUCCCGCCCUUCGCCUUCAGCCGCGUGCGCGCCUACACCGCCGAGGCCUCCGCGCCGCUGCCCUGCGCUUACUAUGAAUAAUGUCGACUGAGAAAUGGUGCAUCAAUUAAAAUCAAUAAUGUAAGUCUAUUUGUUGAACUUCUAAUUGUUCGUAGUAAAUGGUAUUCACACCCUUCUCUUCCAAUGCUUUUGAUAUAUUUUUGUAUAAAGUGCUUUAGCUAAGCAACUUAUUAUGCUUUAAGUUCGGGUGUGCGACAUGAGCUAAAACUAUGUUUUGAACUAUAUCUGCCUUAUGCUCUUAGAAUGGUUGUAUCGUAAGUGUUACUUUUAAGAAAUUAAAAUAACUCGCAAAUGAUGAGGACUCUGUCAAAUUAUAAUGAACUUUUGUAGCAUCUCAAGUUUCUGGUAUCUUUUGUCGUCAGUAAUAAAAGAAGAGAUGAACUUUUACUUUGAUAGAAUUGGCUUGGGAGUCUUUUAACAGACAGUUGUGUAAUUCUUUAAUGAGAAAUGUCGACGUUAACUUGUAUCUGGCGUAGGCGUGCCGUAUUACGGCAGUUUGUUUCUCUAUUUUUAUACUACCUUUAUCACGAACUUUCAGAAGAAUAGAUAUCUUUACUUCGCUAGAUGGUUGUCAAUUCCUUUCGAAAGGUUUGAUGAUAUCGGCACAAAUGCAGGCUCAAACUUGUUAGGUGGCUAUAUUUUUCAAUGUAUGUAUGCCAUUAUAUAGUAGUACAUAUUAUGGUUUGCACGCCAAAUAGUAAUCCACGAAUUUUCUCUAUUAACUUUAAAAGUAUAAUAAGACUAGUCACACGCUGAAGACUUUUAAACUUAUUAAGAACUUAAGAAGUAGUGUCAAUGUUAUAAACUAGCAUCGCCGCGGCACUGCAUUCAUUGAUUGUGUCAGAGAUCUUAUGUACAGCUUGUGCCAUCCACAGUGAAAUUGGAAACUGCUUAUCCAUUCAAAAUGCAAAGGUGCCGUAGACUUAAUGUUACUUACGAUUGCAAUAAUGUUCCCGUCUGCUCGAUGUCCCGUAGCAGUGUGCAGUCAAAAACCACAAAAAAUCUUCAGAUAAAAAAAAAUACGCUUUAUUUUGUAUGAGCAACAGGGUUUCUUAUAAAUUGUAAACCUAUUUAGGCCAAAGCAAAUUUUGGAAGUUAUUCGAGGUUUUUGGGUACAAUAAUGUUGAAGUACAAUAUUCAUAUAAUGUUAAUUAAUUCUCGGGCCCGAAUAUUCAAUAAAUAAUAGAUCGAGCAUGUGUUUGGUUGAAUAUCGAAAUUCAACUAAUCACUGGUUUUAAUCUAAUCUUGAGUUUGAAUCUAGUUUUGAUCGUUUUUGAGAAUACGAGUUUUAAGACAGUAUCUGGUUGCGACUUGAUGUUUUUCAGUCCAGUUUCUGGCAUAGUUAAGCAAUAAUUAUAAUGAAAUAAUGUCGCUUUACAGCGAUGAUAUUUUUCGACGUUAGUGUGUUAGUUUACUUGACAACUUGGCUUUGAAAUCUAUUACGACCUGAUAAAGUACAAAAUUAUUUUACAUUGAGCGGUUUUCUUUCUCUUAGGUAUUUGUAGUAAUAACGAAUUGUUGUAGAUAAUUAAAUGAAAGGUUCUUGUUUAUAAUUUCAUAUUGAUGUAUAAGCUUCGUCUGUCCGACUUUUUUAAUCUGUGUGUUCCUCCUGGGAAUUGAACCCAGAACAUCCGAAUUUAGAAUCUAAUUCACUGAACCACGGAAACGUCGAUCUUAUAUACCUAGUUCCUGAUUUUUAAGUAAUUAUGGAUGAGUGAUAUUUUUAUACCUCUUCACUGUGUACAUAAUAAUAAAAUUGUUUCACCGCUGUCCGAUUCAAGAUUCGUGCAAUCAUAGUUGAGUUGUCAAGUCGGAACUUUGUUGCUUGUUACUUUAUUUAUUUGAAUAGAACAGUCCUAGACUAAGUUCUAAUUUAUGUGAGGUUCUCACAGACCCGUGGUCGGUAACUAAUAUUUAUAGAAUGCUUUGUAAACUAGUCUUAAGUUUCAGGAAAAUAAAUGAGAUUUAUUGAAACCAAAA